AUGCUAAUGGCUACCAAUCUCUCCUUUUCUCCGCAAUCCCUAAUUCCACUUCAAAAGCCUUCUCUCUUACAACGGGUUCAACUCGGUCACUUCCUUCACCUCAACUCAGUGAGUCAGAUUUCGACUGCUCGUCUUCAUUCCGGCUCUCAAUCGCGGGUUUUGGUUCGAGCUGCUUUGGAUAGCGAUUACUCGUCGAAGAGGAGCAGUAGUAAUGAGCAGAGGGAGACGAUUAUGUUACCUGGUUGUGAUUAUAAUCAUUGGCUUAUUGUCAUGGAGUUCCCCAAAGAUCCUGCUCCAACCAGGGAACAGAUGAUUGAUACCUACCUCAACACUCUUGCUACCGUAUUGGGAAGGUUCUCUCUCUCUCUCUCUCUCUCUCUCUCUCUCUCUCUCAGUCUCUCUGAUAUGUAUAUGUUUCUUUUCAUUUCAAAUAUUUGUAUGAGACUUGAAACUUCCAUUUCACCAACGGAUUUAAGAAUCUCUGCCCAUGUAAUUGUUUCUCUCGGAU
rnacentral:lncRNA from 1 species